AGUGAACGCUGGCGGCAGGCCUAACACAUGCGAGUCGAACGGCAGCACAGUAAGAGCUUGCUCUUACGGGUGGCGAGUGGCGGACGGGUGAGGAAUACAUCGGAAUCUACUUUUUCGUGGGGGAUAACGUAGGGAAACUUACGCUAAUACCGCAUACGACCUACGGGUGAAAGCAGGGGAUCUUCGGACCUUGCGCGAUUGAAUGAGCCGAUGUCGGAUUAGCUAGUUGGCGGGGUAAAGGCCCACCAAGUCGACGAUCCGUAGCUGGUCUGAGAGGAUGGUCGGCGACACUGGAAGUGAGACAGGGUCCAGGCUACUACGAGAGGCAGCAGAGGGGAAUGUUGGACAAUGGGGGCAAGCCUGGUCCAGCCAUACCGCGUGGGUGAAGAAGGCCUUCGGGUUGUAAAGCCCGUUUGUUGGGAAAGAAAAGCAGCAGGUUGAUACCCCGCUGUUCUGACGGUACCCAAAGAAUAAGCACCGGCUAACUUCGUG
rnacentral:rRNA from 1 species